rnacentral:ribozyme from 1 species
GGAAUGCGUGAAUUAAAUUGAAUAAAGAACAAACAAGAAAUGAACAACUAACUCACAAUCAUGGUUCUUUUGGUUUCUUGUUUCUCUUUCUUCUUUGUUC